UAUUCACAUCUCACCAAGUUGAGCAACAGUGCAACCAGCAUGGAAGAUUCCUCUCACAACCCAACAAGCGAGCCGUCCAGCGUAUUCCUGCAGGAACAAGAGCCAAAUCAGAGUCCUAACCACAGCCCAGGAGGAAUCUUGCCUGAAACAGAAAGACUAACGGCAGAGCGUGAUGAGACUUUGAGCACCAAUCAGCGAGCCUUUUGCGAGUGCUCUCCCAGGACAAGAAUAUCUCCCAAAACGUAGAAUAUACACCCCCGGUAUAUUUCGACUAUUUCCUCAAAGAGGGGGAUAACUUGGUAGGACGUGGGGAGGAUUGUGAUGUGACACUCUCCAAUGGGUCCCUCUCCCGGAAACAUGCACAGAUACUUGUGGAGAAGGGUUCACACUUUAUAAAGGAUCUUGGAAGUCGGAAUAAGACGUUCAGGCGAAAGGUGGCCCUCAAGCCUAACAUCUAUUAUGAGCUGACGGACGGAGUGCAGGUGACGUUGGCCAAUAUCACUUGUUACUACCUCAUAGGAAACGGGCAGGAGGAGGCAGCCAAUGAUGAACAAGAAGUUUCAGAGGAGAGUGAAACCAGUACAGUGUUGCAUGGCCCCAGUGAGGCUCAAGAGAGUGUGGAGGACUAUGAUUACAACUGAGGAGGAGAGCCCUCAACCUCAACCACCACCAAUUGGUGAGUGCUGUACAACAA